rfam:Dipodomys ordii contig_20246, whole genome shotgun sequence.
GGUGGCUCAGUUUUAGAGUGCUUGCCUUGCAUGCAUGAGGCCCUGGGUUCGAUUCCUCAGCACCA